rnacentral:tRNA from 1 species
GCUUUGAGAAAUAAGGGUAUACAGCGGUUUUGUAAACCGCAGGUCGUCGGUUCGACCCCGACUGCUGGCUCCA